rnacentral:rRNA from 1 species
GACGAACGCUGGCGGCGUGCUUAACACAUGCAAGUCGAACGGAAAGGCCUUUUCGGAGGUACUCGAGUGGCGAACGGGUGAGUAACACGUGGGUGAUCGGCCCUGCACUCUGGGAUAAGCCUGGGAAACUGGGUCUAAUACCGGAUAGGACCGCACUUUAGUGUGUGUGGGGGAAAGUUUUUUCGGUGUAGGAUGAGCCCGCGGCCUAUCAGCUUGUUGGUGGGGUAAUGGCCUACCAAGGCGGCGACGGGUAGCCGGACUGAGAGGUUGGUCGGCCACAUUGGGACUGAGAUACGGCCCAGACUCCUACGGGAGGCAGCAGUGGGGAAUAUUGCACAAUGGGCGCAAGCCUGAUGCAGCGACGCCGCGUGGGGGAUGACGGCCUUCGGGUUGUAAACUCCUUUCGCCAGGGACGAAGCGUUUUGUGACGGUACCUGGAGAAGAAGCACCGGCUAACUACGUG